UCUCUUGUGGCGCAGUGGUUAGCGCUCUCGUUUUCAAAACUUUCAUCCCGGGUUCAAACCCAUCAGGGGUG